rnacentral:rRNA from 1 species
AGAUAGUGUGAUAUCAUUCUGGAAACGCCUGAUCUCCUCUACUAUCAGAAGCUAAGCAGGAUCAGGCCUGGUAAGUAUUUGGGAGAAAUAUCUUUAAAACCAAAUUUCUUUUUA